rnacentral:rRNA from 1 species
GACGAACGCUGGCGGCGUGCCUAAUACAUGCAAGUAGAACGCAGUUGCGAACGGGUGAGUAACGAGUAGGUAACUGCCUGGUAGCGGGGGAUAACUAUUGGAAACGAUAGCUAAUACCGCAUACUAACAGAUGGACCUGCGUUGUAUUAGCUAGUUGGUGGGGUAACGGCUCACCAAGGCAACGAUACAUAGCCAACAGGAGAGGGGGAUCGGCCACACUGGGACUGUGACACGGCCCAGACUCCUACGGGAGGCAGCAGUGGGGAAUAGUGCGCAAUGGGGGCAACCCUGACGCAGCCAGGCCGCGUGAAUGAAGAAGGCCUUCGGUUUGUAAAGUUCUUUCGUUGACGAUGCGUUAAUCACAGAAGAAGCACCGGCUAACUCCGUGCCAGCAGCCGCGGUAAUUC